rnacentral:rRNA from 1 species
CACGUAGUUAGCCGGUGCUUCUUAUACAGGUACCGUCACUUACGCUUCGUCCCUGUCGAAAGGAGUUUACAACCCGAAGGCCGUCAUCCCCCACGCGGCGUCGCUGCAUCAGGCUUCCGCCCAUUGUGCAAUAUUCCCCCACUGCUGCCUCCCGUAGGAGUCUGGGCCGUAUCUCAGUCCCAAUGUGGCCGUACACCCUCUCAGGCCGGCUACCCGUCGACGCCUUGGUAGGCCAUUACCCCACCAACAAGCUGAUAGGCCGCGAGCUCAUCUUGCACCGAAAAAACUUUCCAACCACCACACUAAAAGUGGCUCAUAUCCGGUAUUAGACCCAGUUUCCCAAGCUUAUCCCAGAGUGCAAGGCAGAUCACCCACGUGUUACUCACCCGUUCGCCACUCGAGUACCAGUGCAAGCACUGGCCUUUCGUCGACUUGCAUGUGUUAAGCACGCCGCCAGCGUUCGUCCUGACGUCCAGGACUCGAAACUCU